GAAAGAAAGAAGGCGAGAGGCUAUAUAAAGUUCAUCAGAGAAGUACAUGUGAUGGGUUUUACAAAAAAAGAAUUGCUUACCAUCAGAGGACUAUUGCCUGUCCAUUACCAAUGCUGGGCACUUAAAAAAUGAGGCACAGUCUGGAAAGGAGACACUGUGGGAAGUGAGUCUGCUGUCUUCAAGGAUUGUUUGUCUUGCAUUCCUCAAGGAGUUCCCAGACUUGGAAGAGAGAAACACAGGGGCCAAAAGUCUCAAUCCUAGGAAUGAGAGUGAUGACAGAGAAGGAUCAGAGGAGGGGAGCCAGUGAGAAUCCUCAGAGUGGAGCCUGCCAGUGAGCAUCCUGGAUCACUUCCCCACCUGGUCCCUCUGAAUCUGGGAAUGAUUAUGGCAAUGAGGCUGGAACAACACAUGUAUUAGAAGUGAAGAGCAUCACUGAGAAUUUAGAGACUGUGUCUAGUUUGGAAGAACCCAAGGGAACUUCACAAAAAGUAAUCAGAGUGAGUAGAGACGGAUACAUAAUGCAAAGUGUUCCCUCCAGAAACUUUACUUCGACAAGAACAAGAGCAUUUCCCUGAAGGACAUGAAUAAUGUGAAGUGUAACCGUUCACCAUGCUUCUCCAAGGCACCAAAUGGGCUUUUAAGGCACACAUUCCUGGGGGCUUAACAAUGGAUUCAAAAUAGAAACUGUAAAUUUGUUCCUUGUCUUUCUAAGUUUUCAAUGAGAAGCACACAAUGUUGGGUUGUUGUGCCGCCUGCCUUUAUCAGGUAAUAAUACACUGGGAGGUUUAUUUUUUUAAAAAAAAUAGAUUAGUAACACCUCAGAGGUUUCAGUAUUCUUCACCCUCUAGUUUAUGUAGUCAACCACAGGCCCCAGAGCAGACUCUGACAGCCUUUGAAAAUAUCUGCAGAAUACAAUGUGAAAUGUCAGCUUACUUUAUGAUAAAACAACAAUAACAAAGAUAUCAUUUUCAUUUAGAAGCCCUUAGAAUUAAUAAGCCUAUGUACUAGUCAUUUCUUCAGAAGAGAGAGCAGGAGAAGGUACAAACAAAGAAAAUCACUCCAAAUAUGUCCAGAUGCUACUGUAAGGAGAAUGAGCCUCAAAUUUCUUCUGCUUCACUUCUUUACCUCUACUUCUGAAACACCAUUUUUAUUCCAAUAUCCUCCUUCUCGAUUAUUUUUCAACAAGGAGCCCUGUGAACCACCUGUGGUCAACAGAAACCUCUUGCUGCAGACAUAACUGCUUCCUACUAUUCCUAGUCAGAAUAAUUUGUCCUGUUCCCACUAUUUUUGGAUCCUGAUCUCUUAACAUCUUAAAUGCUGAACAUCUAGGCCAGGAAAGGCACAGUUUAGUGAGAUCAGUUAGAGUAGAAACUCUGCAGCCACACUCCCUGGGUGUGAAUUCUUUGUUCUGCCUUAUUAUGUGUGUCACCUUCAGCAAGUUAUUUAGUCCCUUUGAAAUUCAGGUUCCUCCUCUGUAAAAUAAACUUGUUAGGAGGUUUGAAUGAGUUAAUAUCUCUGUAGCACUUAGAACAGUGCCAAUAGUUGAUUGAUUGAUUGUCAGACAAACAGGUGGAUAGACUGACAGGCACUUGGGAAGUGUAGUCGAAGUCCAGCAUUUAUCCUUAUUCAUUCAUUCAUCUGCUAUAUGAAAGAAACUAAUGGAUAGGAAAAUAGCUAAGACAUAGUCCAUGCACUUAAACAGCUCAAAAUUUAAUGAGAGACAGACAUGUACUAUAAAAGAUUGUAAUGGCUGCAAUAGAGUCAGAUACUGCUUUGUAAGUAGUAAUUAAUUCUUCCUGAGGGUUUAGGGAAAGAUUCACAGACAAACCUGUGCCACUCUACAAGUUCAAUAUACAUCCAGAAGCCACUGGGAAUGAUGUCAAGGGUGAGGUGAGUGAGAAUCAAAUAUGACAUGUCUAUAGAUUAUCCUUCUCUUAGUAUAGUCCCCACUACAAGAUUACUCAUACACACACUGGCUCCCCAGUUGAAUGAACACUUUAACCUGCUUUUGCCAACACUUGAGGAGUUAAAGCUCCUCUGCAGCCCUAUUACUUUGAACGUAGCCAUUAUUCCUUAUUAAGCAGUAAGCAGUCAAUCAUUACAGCCACAAGUAGCCACACACUCAGGUGUGUAUGAAUAC